ACACUCGUGUUUUAAUACCCUUCAUUAUAUGACAGUUGCAUAAACUACUAUUCUUUUCGGUAUUCGGUAAGUUGCUAUUACUGGGUUAUUGUGGUGAAUAAUUUGCAGUAAUUUUUAAUUUCCUUUAAACGCUAAUGCCAUAUUUAUGUCGUGUAUAAUCGUACGAAUUAAUCGUAAAACAUUAAACAGGAAUAGCAAAUAACAAAAUUUUUAGAAAGAAAAUCGGUUAUUAAAUGUUUGGUAACAUUAGCACAACUACUAUUCGUUUCAAAUUCGAACAUGUCGAUACCUGAAGGUAUUCAACAUUAUUGUGCUUACUUCACCAUCCGAUAAUUUGUAAUAUACAUUUCUCUCUUUCUUUUUAUGGUAUUCUGAUUAUUAUAAAUGUAUUUAUGUUUAAGUGUGAAUGAAGAUUGUAUAGGAUACUGUUGUUUACCACUUGAAUUAGUAUUUUAAGAUGGAAUCGAGAAAACCUAGAGAAUUAAAAAAUUCUCGUGUAAAACGAAUGCUGUUCUUGGUGAACAAAUUAGAUGACUUUGAGAGUGAAGACGUAGAAUCAAAUAAAUACAUGAAUACUUCAAAAACAAAAAAAAA